rnacentral:rRNA from 1 species
GACGAACGCUGGCGGCGUGCUUAACACAUGCAAGUCGAACGGUGAAGCGCCUUCCUUUUUGGUGGGUGUGGAUGAGUGGCGAACGGGUGAGUAACACGUGAGUAACCUGCCCCCUUCUUCUGGAUAACCGCAUGAAAGUGUGGCUAAUACGGGAUAUUCUGGGUCUGUCGCAUGAUGGGUCUGGGAAAGAUAUUGUUUCGGUGGGGGAUGGGCUCGCGGCCUAUCAGCUUGUUGGUGGGGUGAUGGCCUACCAAGGCGGUGACGGGUAGCCGGCCUGAGAGGGUGGACGGUCACACUGGGACUGAGACACGGCCCAGACUCCUACGGGAGGCAGCAGUGGGGAAUAGUGCACAAUGGGCGCAAGCCUGAUGCAGCGACGCCGCGUGAGGGAUGGAGGCCUUCGAGUUGUGAACCUCUUUCGCCAGUGAAGCAGGCCUGCCUCGUUUGUGGGUGGGUUGACGGUAGCUGGAUAAGAAGCGCCGGCUAACUACGUG